UACAGAGGGUGCAAGCGUUGUUCGGAAUUAUUGGGCGUAAAGCGCGUGUAGGCGGCUUUGCAAGUCGGGUGUGAAAGCCUCAGCUUAACUGAGGAAGUGCGCCCGAAACUGCAGAGCUUGAGUACCGGAGAGGAUGGUGGAAUUCCCGAAGUAGAGGUGAAAUUCGUAGAUAUCGGGAGGAACACCGGUGGCGAAGGCGACCAUCUGGACGGAUACUGACGCUGAGACGCGAAAGCGUGGGUAGCAAACAGG
rnacentral:rRNA from 1 species